UACGUAGGGGGCAAGCGUUGUCCGGAUUUAUUGGGCGUAAAGAGCGUGUAGGCGGCUUUGCAAGUCCGUUGUGAAAACUCGAGGCUCAACCUCGAGACGCCGGUGGAAACUGCAAAGCUAGAGUCCGGAAGAGGAGAGUGGAAUUCCUGGUGUAGCGGUGAAAUGCGCAGAUAUCAGGAAGAACACCCGUGGCGAAGGCGGCUCUCUGGGACGGUACUGACGCUGAGACGCGAAAGCUAGGGGAGCGAACGGG
rnacentral:rRNA from 1 species